ACCAUAAGUUUAGUUGCCGGGCGACUCUCACACUCGUAGCGAGUUUAAUUCUAGACAUCGAUAAAAUUUAACUCGAGUAACGAGUGCUCUCUGCGACAGCAAAAGUCUCGAGAUCUAAAAUCGACCACUGAAUCUACAUGUGCGAAAGAAAUAUGUAAUACAGUGUUCUUCACUCGAUCAUGAAGAAUUAAUUAAAAUAUAAUUAUUGAUAUAUUUUAUCAGUGUUUGAAGUUCAUAUAGAAAAGACAAUGUUUGUUAAGUGUUCUAGAUACUACUAACGACUAAAUAAAAACAUAGUACACGAAAAAAUAAGUGACGUUUACUUUAUAUGAUUCAAAAAUUCUGCAAAAAGUCUGCAAGAUUACAAAAAUUGCAAAUAUUUUUUAACGUGAAAACCGUACAACGUCUGGCGAAAUUGAGGACAAGUGACGGAAAUUGAUGCCAAGUGUGAUAAUAAACGAAAAAAAUAGAGAAUAAGAUUUCUUCACGGGCACCUCAAUUUUCAAGAAAAUUGAAUUCGCCUGUCAAACAUAAACGUGUCAACACACAAACGAGCGUUACGAGCGUAAAUUUUACAAACGAAAGAAAGCUACGACUGGAGUGACGUCGUGUGCCGAAAUUAAAAUCCAAGGAGGCUAGCAACGGCUCUUCAAUAACAUCCAUCAGCGUCCAUCGGAAUUCAGCGUGAAUAGAAAAAAGAGGAGGAAGAGAAAUCUUGAUACGAUCCGCAGACAAAUGGCGGGAGAGUGUCGUUCGAAUCAUUACGUAAAAUACGAACACGAGUGUUAAAAUGUGCCGAAGCGAGCGAUGAUUAAGCAGACGACCGACACAGUAACGACACGUCGAGUAUACACACACUGUCGACGAUCGAGCCGCGGCCAAGAAUUAGUCUGCACGUCAAAUUCGACUUGAGACGAUAUCGCGAAAAAGUGGAACAUGGCUAGCCUGGUAGCUGCUGAUUACGCGGUGAUCGUCGUGACGAUGCUGAUUAGUUCGGGAAUCGGUGUGUACUAUUGGCUCACCGGAGGAAAGCAGAGAUCGACGGAUGAGUACUUCAUGGCGGACAGAUCGAUGCGAGUGGCACCGGUCGCAAUUGGUUUAAUGGUUUCGUAUCUAUCUGCGGUUAGUUUGCUUGGAGUAAGUUCAGAAACGUACGUGUACGGUACCCAGUACGCAGUGAUCAACAUUUCUUACGGAAUUGCUACCCCAUUCGUCGCUUAUUUGUACAUGCCGAUGUUUUUCAAGCUUGGACAUGCCAGUGCUUUUGAGUACCUGCACAAACGUUUCGGCAAGGCGGCGAGGAUGGCGGGAAGCUUUGCCUUUAUACUUCAACUACUUUUGUACAGCGGCGUGGUAUUGUACGCGCCCGCGCUUGCUUUGGAAGCUACCACAGGCAUCUCGACAGCCGCGAGCGUAAUCGGCAUGGGAUUAAUCUGCACGUUUUAUUCGACGAUCGGCGGCAUCAAGGCGGUCCUCGUCACCGACAUGUUUCAAGGCCUGUUAAUGCUGAUAGCUGUGAUCCUGGUGAUCGCCACAGCAGCCGUGAACGCCGGCGGUCUCGAUCAGAUAUGGGAAAUCGCUCGUCAAGGAUCGCGGAUAGAAUUCGACAGCAUUUCAAUGGACCCAACGGUGCGACACACCUGGUGGAGCUUGACAUUUGGCGGUUUCUUCACCUACCUCUCCUUGUACGGCACCAACCAAGUUCAAGUUCAAAGAAUGUUAACCAUCAAAAACGUGAGAGACGCGCAAACUGCCAUUUGGUGGAGCUGGCCGUUGUCCUCGCUGAUGUCCUUGAGCCUGUGCCUCGCCGGUUUGGCCAUAUACGCGCAGUAUCGCGACUGCGAUCCUCUUCAGACAGGAAGGAUCAACUCGUACGAUCAAUUAAUGCCGCUUUACGUGAUGGACAUGCUCUCCGCGUAUCCAGGUGUGCCGGGACUUUUUAUUGCUGGCAUCUUCAGCGCUGGACUCAGCACCAUCUCCGCCACGGUGAAUUCCCUGGCCGCCGUUAUACUCGAGGAUUUUAUCAAACCAGUGUACCAACGUCGGGACAAAGAGAUUACCGCAACCGGAUCGAUCAUUGUCAGCAAGGUUCUGGCUGUUAUGGUCGGCAUUGCCUGCAUAGGACUGGCGUUUAUGGGUCAAUUUCUUGGCGGGCUUCUUCAGGCUGCUUUAACGAUUUUCGGCGUGGUCGGUGGCCCGGUGUUCGGCAUGUUCACGCUGGGCAUGUUCACGCGGUUGGGAAACCAGAGAGGAGCCAUCGUCGGCCUGUUGACUAGCCUCGUUUUCUCUUUAUGGAUCGGUUUCGGCCAGCCGAAGCCACCGAUUCCAAACAAAGUGAACGUCAACGGCUCGGACUGCGGCUACGCCGAUGCAUAUUACGAUCACGAGAAAUCGUCGAAUUUGCAUUUCGAAUACCAGCAAAGUGACGAUGAUUCAUACUUCUAUUUGUACCGCGUUUCAUACAUGUGGUAUUGCCCACUGGGAAGUGUGAUCAGUUUCGCGAUAGGAUGGAUCUCCAGUUGGAUCUCGAAUUUAAUUCUGGGCGAGGAGUCCCGUGAUCUGGAUCCAGAUCUUUUCGCGUCGUGUCUGUGUAAAAAUGGAUCGAAACGUUUGGACAAAUUCGACAGCACCGUGGCACCAAAAUAGUAGCACGGGCAGUGAAAAUCCGGUUCGAGAAGUGAAUAUGUUAAUAGGAUGGAGGCAAGAAGUAUUGGAAAUUAUCUCAUGUUUGAUCUCAAGCAGUUACAAUGUACACUUAAAUUCAACAUAACGACUUCAGUUGAGCCUAACGAUGGAAAAUACGUUGUAAUACGCGGCGAAUGUUAGUCGAAUCCACGCGGACGAGAUAACCGCCAUUAUUUUAUGAAAAAAAUGUCUUUGCUAUGCUACUAUGGCCAUCAUUCUACGUGUCGCGCUUAUGAAUAAAAAGGAACGAUUGGUAUUUUCUGCCGUAAAGUUAGAAAUCACCGUCGAUGUUGAGCUCGUAAAGAAUUC